rnacentral:rRNA from 1 species
UACGGAGGGGGCGAGCGUUAUUCGGAAUCAUUGGGCGUAAAGGGCGCGUAGGCGGCCCCGUAAGUCUUGGGUGAAAGCCCUCGGCUCAACCGAGGAAUUGCCUUGGAUACUGCGGGGCUCGAGGCUGGAAGAGGACAGUGGAAUUCCCGGUGUAGCGGUGAAAUGCGUAGAUAUCAGGAGGAACACCCAUGGCGAAGGCAGUUCACUGGCAGUCUCCUGACGCUGAGGCGCGAAAGCGUGGGUAGCAAACAGG